rnacentral:rRNA from 1 species
CAGUCGCCGCGAUAAUACGAAGGGUGCAAGCGUUACUCGGAAUUACUGGGCGUAAAGCGUGCGUAGGUGGUGGUUUAAGUCUGAUGUGAAAGCCCCCGGCCCAACCGGGGAGGGUCAUUGGAAACUGGGAAACUUGAGUGCAGGAGGGGAGAGUGGAAUUCCACGUGUAGCGGUGAAAUGCGUAGAGAUGUGGAGGAACACCAGUGGCGAAGGCGACUCUCUGGUCUGUAACUGACGCUGAGGAGCGAAAGCGUGGGGAGCGAACAGGAUUAGAUACCCCGGUAGUCCCUGUCUCUUAUAC